UAGCAUAUACGACACCUUCCCCUCCUAAAUCAUCAUCUUCGCAGUCGACACUCUCAUUCUUUUCAUUCCCAGUUUCGGCUUCGACACAAGAGAACUCCUGGGUGUCAAUUUUUCUUCCAUCUAGUGUCAUCUAUUCAAGGAGAGUUUGCAGAGGAGCAAACGUAGGACUCGGGUCAAGUGUGUGAUUUGUUUUACGUAUCCAGGUGAAUGAAUAAGUUGUUGGCUGAGAGCGCGCCUUAGAACGUAGUAGCUGUUUUAUUUAUGAUGUUUUGG